rnacentral:misc_RNA from 1 species
CGUCAUCACCGCAUAAGCCGCUUCAAGGAACGCGAUAUCAUUCCGCAUCAGGAUGCCGACGCUGUCGCCUUGCCUGAUGCCGAGCCGCUCAAGCCCGCCCGCGAUCAGGCGGGCGCGCUCAUUGACCUCAUCACGGGACUUGCGGCGAUCGCCGCUGACGAUCCCCGGCGCUGACAUGCCGCGUCCGUUCAGUUCGANUCGGCAAAUUUCGGCGCGCGCUUCUCGAUAUUGGCGCGUACCGCCUCGAUCUGGUUAGGCG